AAACUGACAGGAGAAGAGAAGAAAAGGGGAGGAAGAAGAAGAGAAAAGAAGGAAAGAUAAGGGAAGGAGAAGAGAUUUGAAGGAAAUAAGUUUAAAGGUUCUUAGUUUCUGAUAGCAGGUGAACUUUGUUGAGUGUUCCUGCUUCAUCAGUUUUGGGUCGGUAUGCCUUGCUUAUCUUUCAAGGCUGUUUGAUUCGAUGUCUUAGGCGCUCCACUAUUACCUUGUUUUAAUUAAGUUUGGAUUUUGACAAUGUAAUGAGCAUUAUGAAUUAUUGUUUUUGUUUUAACUACUGAUGAGGAGUUUUAAACUA